AGUGAACGCUGGCGGCGUGCCUAAUACAUGCAAGUCGAAUGAAGUGGCGCACGGGUGAGUAAUAUAUAGUUAAUCUGCCCUACACAGAGGAACAACAGUUGGAAACGACUGCUAAUACCUCAUAGUGUAGGAUGAGACUAUAUCGUAUAAGCUAGUUGGUAAGGUAAUGGCUUACCAAGGCUAUGACGCGUAAUUGGUCUGAGAGGAUGAUCAGUCACAUUGGAACUGAGACACGGUCGAAGCUACUACGGGAGGCAGCAGUAAGGUAGAUUGCGCAAUGGGUGAAGCGCUGAGGAAGCAACGCCGCGUGGAGGAUGACACUUUUCGGAGCGUAAACUCGUUUUAUCAGGAAAGCGGUACCUGAUGAAUAAGCACCGGCUAACUCCGUGCCAGCAGCCGCGGUAAUAC
rnacentral:rRNA from 1 species